CCCCUCUCAAAGUGAGCAUGUUGGUUCAAUUCUCUUCCACGGCAGAUCAUGCGCAGAGCUCUGCUGAAGAGCUCUAGCAUGAGAAAAAAGCCCUGUAUUUGUUCUGCGCAGUGCAAGCAAAUUUAAUAACUUAUACAAAAAAAAAAAAAACAAGUCCUGCGCUUGCACUGUGUUUCCUUGCAACUUGUCUCUGGUGUCUCUAUAAAUGGAUACCAGGAGUCAAAAGGGCCAGGAAAGAGUAUUGUGCAUGUGUUUGGAGCCUGCUUGGGGUAUUGCGUGUGUGCAGAGUGAGCUGGUUGUGGUAUUGUGUAAUAAGGUCGGUUUUAGUCGUGUUGUGUUUGUGGUGUAAUUUAAUGCAUAUGUGGCUAGGGGCUUUAGAGAAUGUGUUUUUAGGGGAUGUAGCAAGUGUGUGUAUACAGGCUAUAGUGUGUGUGUGUGUGUGUGUGUGUG